UGGUUACUUUCCAGAAGAAACGUAACCUGAAAAUUUUGUAGAUAUAACCGUGAUAUAACCUCGAAACUUUUUUGCUCUGCAAAUUUGUAAUGAACUGUACAUGGGGCUUGCAAUUACAAAAUAUAUUAAUUUGUGAAAAAAAUCGUUUCUAUGACUCCAUUUAAUGUGCGGUGAUUUUUAUUAAACAACUGAAGACUUGCUGUAUGUCAAGCCAAUUUUAAACAUUAUUGUCUAACAUAACAAGUAAGGUAUUAUACAUUUCAAAAAGGGCAAGCUAAAAUGUUUACAUUUAUGAAACGAAAAGUAAAGCCUCUUUAGCUUAAUUUUACAUAAUAUAGGUGGAGAAAAAUGUUACGACUGUGCAGAAUUGGUUAUGUGUCAAUCAAAAAUGUUCCGCCAGCCGGCUUAAUAAAGUUGGGAACUGGACCGUGCAACACAAGUAAGCAGCACAGAAGUAUUUUACAGCGAUUUUAUAGUAAAAAAGAUGAUAAGGGAAAAUUACCUGACAUACAACAGGGUCCUUCGGCAUAUCAAGCAUGUAAAACACCUAAUUUGUAUGAUCAAGUACCAUCUCCAUCAUACCCUUGGGGUCCAAUGGUAGCUGCUUAUGACAAGAAAAAUAGAACAUUAUUAAUUAUUGGCAUAAUAAUGUUUUUGUCUUCAAUUUUU